rnacentral:rRNA from 1 species
UACGGAGGAGGCAAGCGUUAUCCGGAAUUAUUGGGCGUAAAGCGUCCGUAGGUGGCUCUUCAAGUUUGCUGUCAAAGAGUGGGGCUUAACUCCAGAAAGGCAGUGGAAACUGAAAGGCUAGAGAGCCGUAGGGGUAGAGGGAAUUCCCGGUGUAGCGGUGAAAUGCGUAGAGAUCAGGAAGAACAUCGGUGGCGAAGGCGCUCUGCUGGACCAUAACUGACACUCAGGGACGAAAGCUAGGGGAGCGAAUGGG